rnacentral:rRNA from 1 species
GACAGAGGAUGCAAGCGUUAUCCGGAAUGAUUGGGCGUAAAGCGUCUGUAGGUGGCUUUUCAAGUCCGCCGUCAAAUCCCAGGGCUCAACCCUGGACAGGCGGUGGAAACUACCAAGCUGGAGUACGGUAGGGGCAGAGGGAAUUUCCGGUGGAGCGGUGAAAUGCAUUGAGAUCGGGAAGAACAUCAGUGGCGAAGGCGGUCUGCUGGGCCGUUGCUGACGCUGAGGCGCGACAGCGUGGGGAGCGAACAGG